rnacentral:rRNA from 1 species
CUGGGAAACUGCCUGAUGGAGGGGGAGUAACUACUGGAAACGGUAGCUAAUACCGCAUAACGUCGCAAGACCAAAGUGGGGGACCUUCGGGCCUCAUGCCAUCAGAUGUGCCCAGAUGGGAUUAGCUAGUAGGUGGGGUAAUGGCUCACCUAGGCGACUAUCCCUAGCUGGUCUGAGAGGAUGACCAGCCACACUGGAACUGAGACACGGUCCAG